CAUUUCCAACCAACAAUUCAAACUUAAUUACAAUUCAAAAGUAAAAUAUAGGAUUACAUUCUAAAGAUUCCAAAUACAUCUCAUCUAUAAAAGUACAAGUACAAGAGAUUAUAUACACUAGUUCACGGCUACUUGCUCCAACCUCCAUCCCUGUAAGGAAAACAAACUAAUGGGAUGAGUUAAAAGUUCAGCGAGGUUCCCAAACAAGCAAUCAAGCAAGCAUACACGAAAACAUUUACAUUUAGCACUUUGCACACUUGGCACAGUAAUAAAUAGUCAUUCAAGAGUCAAUUAUUCAUUCAUUGAAAGGAUACAUGCUCACUUGAAGCCAUUCAUUCAUUCAUUCGCCAACCAUUUUCCUUAUCCCUCCGACAUUAGAAAACAUUUGCAAGUAAAAACUCAUUCAGUGCUCAUGUCAUUCAUUCAUUUAUUUUUAUUGCAUUGAAUUCACUGGUCAGUUCUCCACCAGAUUUCGUGGUAAUACUUGAGUAUACCAAACAUUGUCCCAGGGUCACCAGCCGCCCAACCGAGUCCGCUUCUGGCUCGAUUUGACCGUCAACGAAGAGCAAGGGCCCAAUUCAGCCAAAAGGCUUACAUUCAUACACAAGUAGCAUUCAAUCAUUGAAAAUUCACUUUUGCGUGGGUCGAGUGCGAUAAAGUACAUACUCGUCCAUCGAAAAUCCAUUUAGCAAUCAUUGGAAAGCAUUUAACAUUUAGACAACAUUCCACAUAGUCAUUUAAAGCAUACACAUGCAAGGAACACUUACUAAUAAUUAAUGUUAAGCAAAAUCAGGUUGAGGCUGUGACGCCCCCACUUCUCCCUAAGGCGAACCAAAGGGUAUCCGCGGAACGCCUGCCUAACUCUCGCCAGGACUCAAGCAAUUCCAUUCAAGCUUAUUACCGGACCACACAAUACGAGUCAAUAACUUAGAUACAAUAAAUGCGGAAGCGUUCAAGUUUAAUGAAAGUCAUCCGUUAUCCGACCCGCACAUCGGGUGUUCAACAACCAUUAUAUAUAUCUCAAAUAUACAUCAUGCUCCAAAAGUUACAUUCGGAUUCCAAAAUACAAUCCAAAAGCCAACACAUAGUCAAAAGUAAUAGAAACCCUAAACAAAAGUGUAUUAGGAAGGUUUCUUCGAUACCUCGCCAAGUUCAAUCCUGUUAAGGAAAACAAAUCUACAGGGUGAGCAAAACGCUCGUGAGGCCAAGAACACACAUGCAGACACAUAGUUCAGAUAACAAGCCCAAAUACAAUUCAGGUAAUAGCUUGCAAGUAAUUAAUAACGCCGACAAAAUGUAACCAGAAACAAUUCAAGGAUAUGGAAGCUCUCAGGAGCUAAGUUCCACAUUUGCCGAUGUCAUUUGUAUAUCUCCCCGUGAUGACUCUCCGUCAACCGGGUUGAUAUUUUCAUAUCCGUAGUUCACCACUUACUUCUCAUCCGUCCACCAUACACCACUUCGGGCCCGCACGACAUUUAUAAGGCGAUACUUUACGAGUAUGCCAAGCGAGAUCUCUCAAUAGAUCAAGCUUAUCAUGUGAAUCUCAUGGUUCACCGAGGUUCCCGACCAAGCCCAUGCCGGCUCGAGUUCCAAGGUCGGCCUAUGAGUUUGGGCGUCCCCCAUGUAUCAUGUAAAUGUCGAGGAGAUUCACUCCAUCGACGUAUGCAAUCAUAGCAUACCAUUUCAUGCAUUCAAGCAUUUGACAUGUUUAAGCAGGCAUUUCAAGUCAUGUAAACCAGGCAAAUCAUGUUAGACAUGAGUCAUUCGUGCCAAAUGAGAACGAGUGCGAUUAAGUACACACUCGACUCCAUUUUUUUCAAAAUCAAAUAGACUAAGCAUGUAAUCAGGUAAGUCAAGCAUGAAUCAAGACUUUAGAGUUCAAGUAGGCAUACACUUGACACUCACCAGUUAUGCAAGCAAGUAGGUUGGAGGGAGAGUUCAAACUUCCACGGUAGGGUCCUCUUGGAGGUCCUCGUGCGUGCCUGAACAUCGAAUAGUAGAUAAUUACUAUAGGUCCCCAAGUGGUGAGAAAGAUUGGACACGGGUAAGGUUCGGAAAUAUUUGAAAACUUCGUUUGACUUGUCUUUGAAGUUGGAUUCUCAAAAGGGUGCAGGACUCGAGUAAAAAUCGGAUUAUUAUCCUUAAAAUCAUUGGUUGGAAACGAGUACGAGCAAAACGAUUGCAAAUCGAACGAUCGAAAUCGAAAGACGGCUGGCCACGCCACAAUCCGGCCGGAUAUCCGGCCGGAUUUCUGGCCGGAUAUCCGGCCGGAUUUCUGGCCGGAUUGGAGGCAGUGGCUAACCUCCUUUUUUUUUCAAACUUCGCCACCAAUCCGGCCCACAAUCCGGCCAAAACUGGCCGGAUUCUGGUAAAAUUGUUCCUUCGCGGAUUUCCAGAAUUUUUGAUUUUUGGUCAAAUCUUUGAAAAAUCAUAACUUUCUUUCUACUAAUCGAAACUUGAUGAAUUUGGUACCGUUGGAAUCGUCUUCUAAAGUACUAAAAGUCCUUAGAAGACACCAUUCCAUGAAUCUAAGUGGAAGGUAUUCAAAAAUGAGCCUAAAGUUGCUGUUCUAGAUUACCAGGAUUGAGCCGGGGUUGGUUUUUCGCUAACUUUGGAAAUUCGGAAAAAAUCACUCGUUGCAAACCGGCCCUUGAAACUUAUAACUCGAUUAGAAGUGCAAGUAAAGUUUUGAACAGAACAAGCGGCUCAAGAAUUGGAGUUUCGAGUACCGAGAUACGGUAGCUCAAAGUUGGGAAAAAUUCAAGACUGUUACAAAAUUUCCAGAUUUGGUUCCGACUUUGGACCUUUUAUUAAGUGCCGAAACGGACUUGGAUUGACACCAAAUUUUGCAGUAUAAUACUCCAUAUGAAGGGUAUCUCUCUAUCAAAUUUCAUGGAAAAAUACCCUCGGAAAGGUGGUUAAUCAAUCAACCAAAGUUUGGAAAAAUCCUUAAGGCAAUCUGUCCAAAUCUAAGGUUUCAAAAACGAGGCAGUCGCCGUAUUUUGAUCAUAACUCCCUCAAUUUAACUCGGAAUUGGGAAUGGUUGAUAGUGUUAGAAAAUACAUUCACAGGGCUAAAAUUUCACAGAAGAAAUCGUUUCAAGUUUCAGCAUGCAACUGGUUCGAAAUUAAGCCUAAAGUUGCAGCAUCAUCAAAUCAUUUCGGCAGAACGGAGAAACAGGACAGCCGACUUCAGAUGAAUGGUGUGGCUCACACACAUGAAACCAGAAUGUGCAUUAUACACCGUUGGAAACAUGGGAACGUCUAGUUUCAAAUGCCGCUAACGGCACUUGAUUUCGACGUCGGAGUACGGAGUUAUGGACGAAACACGAACACUGGUCUGGUUACGACGGCAACCGUUUUCCCAGAUUACUAGCUUUGGAAAUAAAUUCGUUUGACCCACCAAAACUCAGUAUUUUUCAACGAAAAUUUGUACACAACUGCUACAACAUGUAAACAACAUAAUCAAGCCAUUAAAUCCUCAAAUUUCUGCAUUAAAGUGACCGAACAGAGCAGGGGUAAAAUGGGAACUUUUUGUUUCAAGAGUUCAAUAACGUUUCUGGUAACAAAGCACCUUUAAUCUACUUCCUUAAGCUCUAAUUCAGCAACAAAACCAUCAUCAAACAUCAUCACAGCCAUCAACCCAAAGUGGGAGUUCAUAGAGCCCACGUUUAACAAUUUUCCCAACAAUACAAGCUACUAAAGUGACGAUUCUAGCUCAAAUGCAUAAAUCAAACUCCAAAAGACAAGUUUAAGGUGAUUGAUUACUACCUACUUUGAUGGCUGGUUAGGACAGAAGUUUCGGCCCCUUUGAAGCUUGAAGAACCGUGAAAGCUCCUCCCUUUUCCAGCUAAAUGUGUUGUCCAAGACUUAGGCUAAGUGGUGCUAAAUUUUUAGAAGAUUUGGUGGUGAUUUGCAUGAGUUUUAGAAGAAGAAAUGUUGAAGGUUUCGGUUGUCCCUUUUGCUGCUGCUAUCCGGCCAUGAAGUUUUGCAGAAAUGAAAUGAGAUUGCUGGUUCCUUUGCGGUCAUAAGAUGCUUGACGUCUAAUAUUUUAAAUACGUCAAAUCAAUUAUAACUAGUGCCCUACGCGCGCGUUUUGUGUUCGAUUUCUCUUACGUUUGUUGCACUAGUGCACUAAACCUCUAGGGUACCUAUAUUCAUAUAAAUAUUAUUCAUUCUUAAUUGUCCCAAAAUAAUGGUCCAAAGUCCCUCAAUUAAGCGCGCACGUGAAAACACGUAAUUUAAAUUUAGGCGCGAUAAAAUGAAACCUUCGACAAAUUCUUAUAACGAUCGUACCACUAACUAUCACUUGAGUAUUUAAACCUAAAUUUACCUAUUUUAGGACCAUUGUACAUGUCUCCAAAUUUUCGAGCUUAUUGUACUCCCAAUUGGCUAAAGUUUUUCAGACACGUUUUCACUUUUCACUAAUCAAGUUUUUAAGAAAAUAAUUCUUGAAAUGAGACGCUUUAAAAAUAUAACGAAACUAUAAAACCAUGUACUUAGGUCUAAUAAGGCUAGAAAAUAUUAUUCGGGGCAAAAAUCCAAAUAGAUAAUUAAUUGAGCCAAAAUUAGGGGUUUUAAAAAUAAUAAUUUUACGAGUUCUCACGUGAAUUGAGUAUUAAUUCCUCCAUUAACCUUUCUUAAUCUAUUAUUGAUCGUUCUUAAUUCUCCAAUAUUAAUAUACUCCCGAUUCAAGUAUAGCCUAGAAAAACGUGCACCCGUCGUUCCGGACUAAACAAAUUUUCGAAAAGCGAAUUUUUCAACAAAACGCUUUAAAAAUAUAAAGAGGCGUCAUUCCAUAUAAAUGGAUUUAAAAUGGUCGAAAUAAAUAAUUCGAAGAAAAUGAGUGAAUAAUCAUUUAAAUAUUCCAGUAAUAUUCUAUAAAAAUAAGAAAAUUUUCGGGUCCUCACAGAGGCCUAACUCCUUGGCCAGAUUCUAAAUCUGCGAUCAAAUAUUGAAUAACAAAAUACAAUCAAGUAGGGUUUCCAAAUAUCCAACCCUUACUUGUGAAUAUCACAAGGAGAUCAUGUGAAUAGAACUUACAUACAUAGAUUUCAUGACUUACUAACCCCGGGCAAAAUACAUGCAUGCUUGCCUUUGUUUUAGAAAAAAAACGAUCGAAACUUUUAUGUUUAAAACGUGACAUGCACAACUAAAAAUCACGUUUUAAAAUAGUCAUUACUUUCACCUUGCAAAAUAUAUAAUUUUGGCAAAAUUUCAACUUACAUAUCACCUCCAAGGUUAACUCAAACAUUCCUAAACAAGUCAAGUCCAAAUCGAUUACAAAGCACACCUCUAUGCCCACUUUUACUCACUUAUCUUUCAAGAAAUGAAAUGGAUAACAAUUCCCCCGUUCUUUCUUCAAUUUUUCCUCCAAUUUUUCAAGCUAAACUUUAUGGCAAAACAACCCAAAUCAACUCCACAACUCAUAAGAAAAAAGGGGUUCGUACACUAGACUACAAAACCAACUAAUUUAGACUUAUCUCUAGCAUACAAACAUAAUACAUCUACAUUGGAAAAUUAAACCCUAGGCUGAAAAUUUAGAAGCUAAAGCUGAAAAAUUAUAAUUCAAGGCUGGAAAUCCCUACACCCAAGUUAAAAAUCACAUUUCAAAUCUUACUAUAUUAUAUCAAAGCUAGAAAGUCCCAUGUGAACGCUGAAAAAUCCAUAUACAUAAUAAAUUUAUGAUCCAAGUAUGAAAUGGAGUGCAAGUAAUCGAGAAAGUUAGGUUUAAAAACCAGAAAAUAUUUCCAAGACCCUUCCAAGUUUUUUGUCAUUUCGCAAGAAAAAUUUCAGUUUUUGUAAUGCUCUUUGAAACGUCAUAACUUGAGUUUUGUAAGUUCAAAAAUCAUAAAUCUUAUACCUUUAGAAAAUAGACUCAAAAGAUUACAACUCCCUAGAAGACACCUUCAUAAAAUUCAGCCCAUAAAUUAGUCAAAUCUCAGCCUCAAUUCACUGCUAAAUUAAGUGCAAAAACAGGACAGUCUUGGAUUUUCAACCCAUUUUGAAAUUUUGCUGGUAUUUAUAGAAAAUGAACCAACCCAUGAAGUUUACACGGUUAAAAGAGCUAUGAGUCUAAUUUCAAAUACAACAAAUGGAACUCAAUUCAGAUUUUCUAUACCAAGAUAUAACAAAUUUUCCAAAACUGAUUAAAGUAUCUUGCUGGAAAAAUUUUCAGCAGCGCUUUCCCUUAUUUUUCCUAAUUUUCAGCCAUUUUCAAGGCUUCAUUCUCACCACAAAAUAGUCUCAACUCAAGCAUAUACAUACCAGACCAUCAACUCACUAAAUCAACCAUAUACAUAGCAUUGAACCAUCACAACUCCAUGUAUAUAUAGAGUUUCAAGUAACUACAUCAAGGCUGGAAAUUUCACCAAACCUAACAGUACCAUGAUAGCUGUCAUAAAAGUCAUGGCUUUUACCUUAUAAAGUAUCAUCCAUCAAGUAAAUACAAAAAUAAGUGGAAAGAUAAGGUAGCUAUCAAAUUACCUCUUAAAUCCCACAAAACAAUGCUGAAAAAUCACAACACAACCUGAAAAUCAUGAAAUCCACCGUAUAAACCCUUCCUUUAGCUUCUAUAACAUCAUAUAUCAAAGAAACUCAAAGAUAAGGGAGGAUUUCUAGCAAAGUUCUCCUUUUUACCUCCAAAACUUAGACGGACAGCCAAGCAAGAAGUACUCAAGGGUUUCUUCCUCCAAAACUUCUCCAAGAGCUACCCCUCAAGAUUAUCUCAAGGUUGAUUGGAGUGGAUUAGGGUUGAUCUUGGUUUUUUUUUUCCCAUGAUUCAGCAAGAGAUUAAGGCUGAAAAUGGAGUAUUUUUCUCUUCUUAUCCUAUCAAAUUUCGUCCAUCAUGGAAGGAAAAGGAAAAAAAAUGGUGAUUGACUUGAGUUGGAUAAGUUUUAAGCUUAAUCUUGACAGUAUUAAGCUUAAUCUUGGUCAAGUCUUGGUCAAGAUUGACUUGGUAUUUGACAAGUAGCACAAAUCCAAGUGAAGUCAAUCUAAUUGUCUCUCUUAUGCACUCAAAUAUCUAUUACUCCUCCAAUCAUCUCUUAACACCUUUUGUUACAUAAUUCUUUUUGCACAAAACCCUUCUAAUCCUCCAAAUUUAUUGCAGACGCCUCACUAAUCGGUCAUACUAGUAUUAUGCACUAUGAGACUUAACAUAUAUAAAAUGAAACAUGCACCAAGUAAAAUAAAAAAAUAGGUCAAAAUUAUGAUUCAACUAAUAAAACAACCAAGAAUUCAAGGCAAGUAAAUGAAAUCAAAGAAAAUAUUUAACUAAUUAUCAGGUCACAACACAACUUGCAAAUAUCUAAAAGUGAGUAAAAAUGGACAAAACCUUUUUUUUUCUUGGUCAAAUCUAGGAUUUGAAAUCUCUUGUAUUAAAAUUUCUUUCUUGCCAUAAAUAUCUCGUGCUACAAAAUGUUAGUCAAUCACUUAAAAGAAACAAUAAGGUACAACUAUCCGUUGUCAUUCACUAUAUAUACAAGCAAAUUAGUUGAAAUGAAAGGUAUGAAAAUUUUGAGUUCUCACACUCUCUCCCCCUUAAAAGAAUUUCGCCAUCGUAAUUCUAAUCUUUGCUAGCAAAACUCAAGUUUGCAAUCUCCAAUUUACUCAUGGUCAUUGCCAAUGCCAUACCCAAAAUAUACUAUAGCUACUUACCCCUAUAGUAUCCUUUUCAUCCUCAAUCGGAGUGGUCAUCCUACAUUCACUAAAAGAAUGUCACUACAAGAAAAAAGAUCAUUAGUGACAACAUUUCUUUGUGACGACAAAAAGUCGUCACAAAAUGAGGUUGUUUAGUCACGACUUUGAAGGUUGUCACAAUUGACUCAAAGAAACUGAGUUUUCAGUGACAACAUUUAAUUGUCGUCACAAAACUACUUCGCGCCAUGGGACUUGGAAGGCGCGAGAUUUGCGAUAGUGAUGAUUUGAUAAAUGUUAUCAGUAAUUCUACCGCUUUCUUUAACAACAUUUCAUUGUUGUCACUGUUUAUGUUUACUGACGACCAAUUUUUGUCAGUAAAACUAUAACGUAGUUAGUGACAACAUAAGUAUCAUCACUAACUUGAACAUCUCUGUGACGCCCCCACUUCUCCCUAAGGCGAACCAAAGGGUAUCCGCGGGACGCCUGCCUAACUCUCGCCAGAACUCAAGCAAUUCCAUUCAACUUAUAGUCGGACCACACAAUACAAGCCAAUAACUUAGAUACAAUAAAUGUGGAAGUAUUCAAACUUAAUAAUAGUCAUCCAUUCUCCAAACCACACGUCAGAAUACAGAUUACAUUUCGUCCAAAGGUUACAUUUCCAUACCAAAAGUACAAUUCCAAAACCAAAGGCAUAACUAAAAGUAAUACCAAGCCCUAAACAAAAGUACAUCAAGAGGGCUUCUCCAUUUUACCUCCGAGUUCAAACCUGUUAAGGAAAACAAAUCUACAAGGUGAGCAAAACGCUCGUGAGGCCAAGAACACACAUGCAGACACAUAGUUCAGAUAACAAGCCCAAAUACAAUUCAGGUAAUAGCUUGCAAGUAAUUAAUAACGCCGACAAAAUGUAACCAGAAACAAUUCAAGGAUAUGGAAGCUCUCACGAGCUAAGUUUCACAUUUGCCGAUGUCAUUUGUAUAUCUCCCCGUGAUGACUCUCCGUCAACCGGGUUGAUAUUUUCAUAUCCGUAGUUCACCACUUACUUCUCAUCCGUCCACCAUACACCACUUCGGGCCCGCACGACACUUAUAAGGCGAUACUUCACGAGUAUACCAAGCGAGAUCUCUCAAAUAGAUCAAACUUAUCAUGUAAUUCUCAUGGCUCACCAAGGUUCCCGACCAGGCCCAUGCCGGCUCGAGUCCCAAGGUCGGCCUAUGAGUUUGGGCGUCCCCCAUGUAUCAUGUAAAUGUCGAGGAGAUUCACUCCAUCGACGUAUGCAAUCAUAGCAUAUCAUGUCAUAAAUUCAAGCAUUUGACAGGUUUAAACAUGUAUUUCAGGUCAUAUAAACCAUGCAAAGCAUGUCAAACAUGAGUCAUUUGUUCCAAAUGAGAACGAGUGCGAUUAAGUACACACUCGACUCCAUUUUUCAAAAUCCAAUAGACUGAGCAUAUAAUCAGGUAAGUCAAGCAUGAAUCAAGACUUUAGAGCUCAAGUAGGCAUACACUUGACACUCACUAGUUAUGCAAGCAAGUAGGUUGGAGGGAGAGUUCAAACUUUCACGGUAGGGUCCUCUUGGAGGUCCUCGUGCGUGCCUGAACAUCGAAUAGUAGAUAAUUACUAUAGGUCCCCAAGUGGUGAGAAAGAUUGGACACGGGUAAGGUUCGGAAAUAUUUGAAAACUUCGUUUGACUUGUCUUUGAAGUUGGAUUCUCAAAAGGGUGCAGGACUCGAGUAAAAAUCGGAUUAUUAUCCUUAAAAUCAUUGGUUGGAAACGAGUACGAGCAAAACGAUUGCAAAACGAACGAUCGAAAUCGAAAAAGGGCUGGCCACGCCACAAUCCGGCCGGAUUUCUGGCCAGAUUGGAGGCAGUGGCUAACCUCCUUUUUUUUCAAACUUCACCACUAAUCAAGCCGACAAUCCGGCCAGUUUCUGGCCGGAUUCUGUGGAAUAGUUCCUUCGCGGAUUUCCUUUGGAAUUUCAGAAUUUUCGAUUUUUGGUCAAAUCUUUGAAAAAUCAUAAUUUCUUCUCUACAAAUCGAAACUUGAUAAAUUUGGUACCGUUGGAAUCAUCUUCCAAAGUACUAAAAGUCCUUAGAAGACAUUGUUCCAUGAAUCUAAGUGGAAGGUAUUCAAAAAUGAGUCUAAAGUUGCUGUUCUAGAUUACCAGGAUUGAGCCGGGGUUGAUUUUUCGCUAAUUUUGGAAAUUCGGAAAAAAUCACUCGUUGCAAACCGGCCCUUGAAACUUAUAACUCAAUUAGAAGUACAAGUAAAGUUUCGGACAGAACAAGCGGCUCAAGAAUCGGAGUUUCGAGCACCAAGAUAUGGUAGCUCAAAGUUGGGAAAAAUUGAAGACUGUUACAAAAUUUCCAGAUUUGGUUCCGACUUUGGACCUUUUGUUAAGUGUCGAAACGGACUUGAAUUGACACCAAAUUUUGUAGUAUAAUACUCCCAUAUGAAGGGUAUCUCUCUAUCAAAUUUCAUGGAAAAAUACCCUCGGAAAGGUGGUUAAUCAAUCAACCAAAGUUUGGAAAAAUCCUUAAGGCAAUCUAUCCAAAUCUAAGGUUUCAAAAACGAUGCAAUCGCCGUAUUUUGAUCAUAACUCCCUCAAUUUAACUCAGAAUUGGGAAUGGUUGAUAGUGUUAGAAAAUAAAUUCACAGGGAUAAAAUUGCACUGAAGAAAUCGUUACAAGUUUCAGCAUGUAACUGGUUCGAAAUUAAGCCUAAAGUUGCACCAUCAUCAAAUCAUUUCGGCAGAAUGGAGAAACAGGACAGCCGACUUCAGUUGAAUGGUGUGGCUCACACACAUGAAACCAGAAUGUGCACUAUACACCAUUGGAAACAUAGGAACGUCUAGUUUCAAAUGCCGCUAACGGCACUUGAUUUCGACGUCGGAGUACGGAGUUAUGGACGAAACACGAACACUGGUCUGGUUACGACGGCAACCGUUUUCCCAGAUUACUAGCUUUGGAAAUAAAUUCGUUUGACCCACCAAAACUCAGUAUUUUUCAACGAAAAUUUGUACACAACUGCUACAACAUGUAAACAACAUAACCAGGCCAUUAAAUCCUCAGUUUCUGCAUUAAAAUGACCGAACAGAGCAGGGGUAAAAUGGGAACUUUUUGUUUCAAGAGUUCAAUAACGUUUCUGGUAACAAAGCACCUUUAAUCUACUUCCUUAAGCUCUAAUUCAGCAACAAAACCAUCAUCAAACAUCAUCACAGCCAUCAACCCAAAGUGGGAGUUCAUAGAGCCCACGUUUAACAAUUUUCCCAACAAUACAAGCUACUAAAGUGACGAUUCUAGCUCAAAUGCAUAAAUCAAACUCCAAAAGACAAGUUUAAGGUGAUUGAUUACUACCUACUUUGAUGGCUGGUUAGGACAGAAGUUUCUGCCCCUUUGAAGCUUGAAGAACCGUGAAAGCUCCUCCCUUUUCCAGCUAAAUGUGUUGUCCAAGACUUAGGCUAAGUGGUGCUAAAUUUUUAGAAGAUUUGGUGGUGAUUUGCAUGAGUUUUGGAAGAAGAAAUGCUGAAGGUUUCGGUUGUCCCUUUUGCUGCUGCUAUCCGGCCAUGAAGCUUUGCAGAAAUGAAAUGAGAUUGCUG
rnacentral:lncRNA from 1 species